rnacentral:siRNA from 1 species
AGAUAGAUCAUCCUACUGAACCAC